AGUGAACGCUGGCGGUAGGCCUAACACAUGCAAGUCGAACGGCAGCACAGUAAGAGCUUGCUCUUACGGGUGGCGAGUGGCGGACGGGUGAGGAAUACAUCGGAAUCUACUUUUUCGUGGGGGAUAACGUAGGGAAACUUACGCUAAUACCGCAUACGACCUACGGGUGAAAGCAGGGGAUCUUCGGACCUUGCGCGAUUGAAUGAGCCGAUGUCGGAUUAGCUAGUUGGCGGGGUAAAGGCCCACCAAGGCGACGAUCCGUAGCUGGUCUGAGAGGAUGAUCAGCCACACUGGAACUGAGACACGGUCCAGACUCCUACGGGAGGCAGCAGUGGGGAAUAUUGGACAAUGGGCGCAAGCCUGAUCCAGCCAUACCGCGUGGGUGAAGAAGGCCUUCGGGUUGUAAAGCCCUUUUGUUGGGAAAGAAAAGCAGCAGGUUAAUACCCCGCUGUUCUGACGGUACCCAAAGAAUAAGCACCAGCUAACUUCGU
rnacentral:rRNA from 1 species